CUCAGGAAAGCUUUCCUCCAGCCCCGUCUGUGGUUACACAAAACGGUCAAAACAGAGGCCAGGUCUGUUCUCAAAUACCACGCUCUGGAGGAGGGAUAAGAAUGUCCUAUGGUUCCUGGGCCAGUUCAGGUGGCUUAGAGAAGGGCAAAACAGCACCUUUAUAGACACUACAAAAAUCACUUGAAGAAGGAACAAACAUCUCUGAGUGGAGGGAACUACACCAGUGUGAUCAUCACAGAAACUGGAGGACUGAGGACAAAAUCUCAGAAUACCAGGGAGCAGGGCAGACCACACCAGGGUUUGAACAGCCUUAUGGAAACGUCUGGCUCCAGCCUCGCUUUGGUUUUCUUCAGAGUUUCUUCAGUGGGUGCAGGAAAUUCUACUUACUGGGUUUGUCAGUAAUCUAGAAGUAUCUUGGUAUUUUUCAGAUUACCAAGUAUCUGUUGUAAUGUGACUUUGUGACACAACAGAUAAAGAGAUCAAGAUAGAUCACUGCUGGAGACUGUGUUUCCUAAGAAUGGAUGAUAAGCAUUAGCAGAUAAAAAAAAUGUAAUCAAUCAAGUAAUGGAACAAGGCAGGAAUGAGAGGAAUGUUUUUCAAUUUAAAAUCUAGUGUAAGUUUUGCCCUUAACAAAAUCAGAGAAAAUGUAAAGAAUCAGAGGGAAUUUUUUUUAAAUCCACAAUGAAGGAAGAAAAGUGCUCCUUAAAUAGAUGAGUAAAUGGUUUCAGGCAUAAAUGUAUUUAUGUAUGGAUGUGUAGAGAUUUUCCUUUCCCGUUAGGAUUAAGUAAUUUUUUUAGAGUAAAUUUAUUCAGGAGUUCAUUGGUUUGUCACUAAUAACAACCUAUUUUUUGUAGCUCUUUAAAAAAUGACCUUAAAAAUGCACAAGAAUGGUAUUUGCUUUAGAAAAACAUGAAUAAUAUAUAUUUUUUAAACUUUUCUGAAUACUAGUGGUCGAACAGAACUGAUAGAGUCACAGUCACUAAAGAGGAAUUCUCCAAAAGGCCUCAGAAAAAACAGUAAUGAAAGAAGGAGACAACCAAAUACCCGAGUCUUAAAAAGUUCCAGCUCUCUGUCCACCCACCCCACCCUUACCACGCCCACCCCACCUUCCCAGGGAUAUGAAAAUCUCCCAGCAGGUGAUGGACUGUGCCAGAGUCAGUGUUGAUGCUUAAAGGUUGAAGCGGAUUUGUAAACAACAAAAAUUCAAUAGAUAUCAUCCCUGCUCUUAAAAUACCUCUGCCACACUGCCACUGAGGGUUUCUCAUUGGCCACUUGUGACAGAAAGCUCCUAAAUGGUCUCCAGUGAUCCCUACCUCCUGGUACGCAUGCUCUUGGAUAAUGCCCUACCCUUCAAUACGGGCUGGAUUUAGUGACUUGUUUCUAGCAAACAGAAUGUGGCAAAGGUGAUGAGAGGUCAUGUGCUAGAUUAGGUUACAGGAUAGCUGUUGCUUCUGUCUUGGGUGCGCUCUCUCACUUGCUCUCUCUGAAGAAAGGCAGCUGCCAUGUUGUGGGCUGUACUAGGGAGACAGCACAAUAGCCCUCAAGGAAUCAACAACCUUGUGUGUGAGUUUGGAAUCAGAUCCUCUCCCGCUGAGCCGUCACAGAAGACCUCGGCCUCAGCUGACACCUGGACAGCUGACACCUGGACCGCAAUCUCAUGAGAGACCUUGAGCCAGUGGCACCAACCUGAGCAGCACCCAGGGGCCUGACCCACAGAAAGUGUGAGGAAACAAAUAUCCGUUGUUUCUUUUGUUUUUUGUUUUCAGUCCACCUCCUCAUUUCCUGCACUGUGCCCCCAUCUCUCUCAUUGUCAAUUCCCACCUUCACUUUUCUUUUACUUAUUUUUUUUUUUUAAUGUUUACUUAUUUUUGAGAGGGGAGAGGAAGGGCAGAGAGAGAGAGGGAGAGAGAGGGAGGAUCUGAAGCAGGCUCCACGCUGACAGCAGAGAACCCAAUGUGGGAGUUGACCUCACAAACCAGGAGAUCAUGACCCUAGAUGAAGUCUGCUGCUUAACCGACUGAGCCGCCAAGGCGCCCCUCCUUUUACUUCUUCUGUGGACAAUUUAAAACGAUCUGUUUCACAGACUCUUUUAUUCUAUAGCCUCAGGGCUUCUCCUUUCCACCUUAAGAGGCCUAAAAAUAAUAAAGUAUGCUUUUAAUCCGAGAGAAACUCUAGUGCUAGCUGCUGUAACAACAGUUCUCAGCUUAUAUCGAGAAAUUGUUCGUCACUCAAAAUAAGUAAUGUACCUAUGAUUUCAUCAACUUGAAAUAUUCUAGCUUUGAAGAAAACAUAGUCUAGCUUUGGCACAUUUUAUAAAGUAGAGAAUAAAACCUUUGAUGAUGAAACACUCUAUUCCCUAUUAUUUACACUUUAGAUAGUAAUAAAACACAUUAUUUUCAAAUAUUUUCGUUAUUUUGGGGCUACCGUUUGAUGUGAAUUAUUGCUAGGUGUUGGAGAGAGUUGUCCACUCCUGAAAUCUCUGUUUUUUAGCCUUUUGGGCUCAGCUAUUCCCUCAAUACCCCAAAUAAACUGCUUUGUGCCACUCCUU